UGCAUUUCCAUAAGCGGAGGAAAAGAAACCAACCGGGAUUGCCUCAGUAACGGCGAGUGAAGCGGCAAAAGCUCAAAUUUGAAAUCUAGUGCCCUCGGCGCUCGAGUUGUAAUUUGUAGAGGGAUACUCUGGGGCCGUUCCUUGUCUAUGUUCCUUGGAACAGGACGUCAUAGAGGGUGAGAACCCCGUGUGGCGAGGAGUGCGGUUCUUUGUAGAGUGCCUUCGAAGAGUCGAGUUGUUUGGGAAUGCAGCUCUAAGUGGGUGGUAAAUUCCAUCUAAAGCUAAAUACAGGCGAGAGACCGAUAGCGAACAAGUACAGUGAUGGAAAGAUGAAAAGAACUUUGAAAAGAGAGUGAAAAAGUACGUGAAAUUGUUGAAAGGGAAGGGCAUUUGAUCAGACAUGGUGUUUUGCGCCCCCUGCUCCUUGUGGGCGGGGGACUCUCGCGGCUCACUGGGCCAGCAUCGGUUUUUGCGGCCGGAUAAAUCCCCUGGAACGUAGCUUGCUUCGGGAAGUGUUACAGCCAGCGGGGAAUACGGCCAGCGGGGACCGAGGACUGCGGCGCUUGCGCCAAGGAUGCUGGCAUAAUGGUUAUAUGCCGCCCGUCUUGAACACCGGGACAA
rnacentral:rRNA from 1 species